UUAAGCGACUAAGCGUACACGGUGGAUGCCCUGGCAGUCAGAGGCGAUGAAGGACGUGCUAAUCUGCGAAAAGCGUCGGUAAGGUGAUAUGAACCGUUACAACCGGCGAUGUCCGAAUGGGGAAACCCAGUGCAAUUCGUUGCACUAUCGUUAACUGAAUACAUAGGUUAACGAGGCGAACCGGGGGAACUGAAACAUCUAAGUACCCCGAGGAAAAGAAAUCAACCGAGAUUCCCCCAGUAGCGGCGAGCGAACGGGGAGCAGCCCAGAGUCUGAAUCAGCUUGUGUGUUAGUGGAACGGUCUGGAAAGUCCGACGGUACAGGGUGAUAGUCCCGUACACCAAAAUGCACAGGCUGUGAACUCGAAGAGUAGGGCGGGACACGUGGUAUCCUGUCUGAAUAUGGGGGGACCAUCCUCCAAGGCUAAAUACUCCUGACUGACCGAUAGUGAACCAGUACCGUGAGGGAAAGGCGAAAAGAACCCCGGCGAGGGGAGUGAAAAAGAACCUGAAACCGUGUACGUACAAGCAGUGGGAGCACCUUCGGGUGUGACUGCGUACCUUUUGUAUAAUGGGUCAGCGACUUAUAUUCUGUAGCAAGGUUAACCGUAUAGGGGAGCCGCAGGGAAACCGAGUCUUAACUGGGCGUUAAGUUGCAGGGUAUAGACCCGAAACCCGGUGAUCUAGCCAUGGGCAGGUUGAAGGUUGGGUAACACUAACUGGAGGACCGAACCGACUAAUGUUGAAAAAUUAGCGGAUGACUUGUGGCUGGGGGUGAAAGGCCAAUCAAACCGGGAGAUAGCUGGUUCUCCCCGAAAGCUAUUUAGGUAGCGCCUCGUGAACUCAUCUUCGGGGGUAGAGCACUGUUUCGGCUAGGGGGUCAUCCCGACUUACCAACCCGAUGCAAACUACGAAUACCGAAGAAUGUUAUCACGGGAGACACACGGCGGGUGCUAACGUCCGUCGUGAAGAGGGAAACAACCCAGACCGCCAGCUAAGGUCCCAAAGUCAUGGUUAAGUGGGAAACGAUGUGGGAAGGCACAGACAGCCAGGAUGUUGGCUUAGAAGCAGCCAUCAUUUAAAGAAAGCGUAAUAGCUCACUGGUCGAGUCGGCCUGCGCGGAAGAUGUAACGGGGCUAAACCAUGCACCGAAGCUGCGGCAGCGACACUAUGUGUUGUUGGGUAGGGGAGCGUUCUGUAAGCCUGCGAAGGUGUGCUGUGAGGCAUGCUGGAGGUAUCAGAAGUGCGAAUGCUGACAUAAGUAACGAUAAAGCGGGUGAAAAGCCCGCUCGCCGGAAGACCAAGGGUUCCUGUCCAACGUUAAUCGGGGCAGGGUGAGUCGACCCCUAAGGCGAGGCCGAAAGGCGUAGUCGAUGGGAAACAGGUUAAUAUUCCUGUACUUGGUGUUACUGCGAAGGGGGGACGGAGAAGGCUAUGUUAGCCGGGCGACGGUUGUCCCGGUUUAAGCAUGUAGGCUGAUUGUCCAGGCAAAUCCGGAUAAUCAAGGCUGAGGUGUGAUGACGAGGCACUACGGUGCUGAAGUAACAAAUGCCCUGCUUCCAGGAAAAGCCUCUAAGCAUCAGGUAACAUUAAAUCGUACCCCAAACCGACACAGGUGGUCAGGUAGAGAAUACCAAGGCGCUUGAGAGAACUCGGGUGAAGGAACUAGGCAAAAUGGUGCCGUAACUUCGGGAGAAGGCACGCUGGUGUGUAGGUGAAGUCCCUGCGGAUGGAGCUGAGACCAGUCGAAGAUACCAGCUGGCUGCAACUGUUUAUUAAAAACACAGCACUGUGCAAACACGAAAGUGGACGUAUACGGUGUGACGCCUGCCCGGUGCCGGAAGGUUAAUUGAUGGGGUUAUCCGUAAGGAGAAGCUCUUGAUCGAAGCCCCGGUAAACGGCGGCCGUAACUAUAACGGUCCUAAGGUAGCGAAAUUCCUUGUCGGGUAAGUUCCGACCUGCACGAAUGGCGUAAUGAUGGCCAGGCUGUCUCCACCCGAGACUCAGUGAAAUUGAACUCGCUGUGAAGAUGCAGUGUACCCGCGGCAAGACGGAAAGACCCCGUGAACCUUUACUAUAGCUUGACACUGAACAUUGAGCCUUGAUGUGUAGGAUAGGUGGGAGGCUUUGAAGCGUGGACGCCAGUCUGCGUGGAGCCAACCUUGAAAUACCACCCUUUAAUGUUUGAUGUUCUAACGUUGGCCCCUGACCGGGGUUGCGGACAGUGUCUGGUGGGUAGUUUGACUGGGGCGGUCUCCUCCCAAAGCGUAACGGAGGAGCACGAAGGUUAGCUAAUCCUGGUCGGACAUCAGGAGGUUAGUGCAAUGGCAUAAGCUAGCUUGACUGCGAGCGUGACGGCGCGAGCAGGUGCGAAAGCAGGUCAUAGUGAUCCGGUGGUUCUGAAUGGAAGGGCCAUCGCUCAACGGAUAAAAGGUACUCCGGGGAUAACAGGCUGAUACCGCCCAAGAGUUCAUAUCGACGGCGGUGUUUGGCACCUCGAUGUCGGCUCAUCACAUCCUGGGGCUGAAGUAGGUCCCAAGGGUAUGGCUGUUCGCCAUUUAAAGUGGUACGCGAGCUGGGUUUAGAACGUCGUGAGACAGUUCGGUCCCUAUCUGCCGUGGGCGCUGGAGAAUUGAGGGGGGCUGCUCCUAGUACGAGAGGACCGGAGUGGACGCAUCACUGGUGUUCGGGUUGUCAUGCCAAUGGCACUGCCCGGUAGCUAAAUGCGGAAGAGAUAAGUGCUGAAAGCAUCUAAGCACGAAACUUGCCCCGAGAUGAGUUCUCCCUGAGACUUUAAGUCUCCUGAAGGAACGUUAAAGACGAUGACGUUGAUAGGCCGGGUGUGUAAGCGCAGCGAUGCGUUGAGCUAACCGGUACUAAUGAACCGUGAGGCUUAACCUU
rnacentral:rRNA from 1 species